UCAGGACGCCAUCAGGACGCCACGUCAACGGGACGCUACGUCAACGGGACGCCAUCAGGACGCCCUCAGGACGCCAUCAGGACGCCACGUCAACGGGACGCCAUCAGGACGCCCUCAGGACGCCAUCAGGACGCCACGUCAACGGGACGCCAUCAGGACGUCACGUCAACCACUCAGGAGCAAAUCCAGAUCUACGCAUGACACACACACACACACACACACACACAGAUGUACUCAGAGACACACUAACAUUUGGUUCUAAAAAAGACACACACUAACAUUUAGAUGUACACAAAGACACAUUAAUAUUUUGAUGUACACACAGACACACUAACAAUUAGUUGUACACACAGACACACUAACAAUUCGAUAUUCACACAGACACACUAACAAUUAGAUGUACACACAUACACACUAACAUUUGGUUCUAAACAAAGACACUUACUAACAUUUAGAUGUACACAAAUACACAUUAAUAUGUAGAUGUACACACAGACACACUAACAUUUAGAUAUGUACACAAAGACACAUUAAUAUUUAGAUGUACACACAGACACACUAACAUCUGGUUCUAAACAAAGACACACACUAAUAUUUAGAUGUACACAAAGACAUAUUAAUAUUUAGAUCUACACACAGACACACUGACAAUUCGAUGUUCACACAGACACACUAACAAUUCGAUGUACACACAUACACACUAACAAUUAGAUGUACACACAGACACACUAACAACAUUAACAUGUUAAUAACUUUUCUUCUUUUCUCUCUUCUCAGGAACUGCUUCAGAUGUUUUCUCAAUGAUUGUGUUAUUAUUAUUGUUAAAUAUGUCGUCUGUUUAUUAUUUUAACAAUGAA
ensembl:lncRNA